rnacentral:piRNA from 1 species
GGGAUGAACUAGGAAAGGCUCAAGAUCAC